ensembl:snRNA U2 U2 spliceosomal RNA
AUCACUUCUCAAGCUUUCAGUUAGGAUCAAGUGCAGUAUUUGUUUAUGUCAGUUUAAUAUCUUAUGUGUCCUCUGUUGAGGACAAUAUAUUCAACAGAUUUUUAGAAAUAAGAGAUGAAAUGGGAAUUUGCUCCACCAACUCUAUUCAUCGACUUGGUAUUGCAAUACUUCUAGAAAUGGUGCAAAAACA